rnacentral:rRNA from 1 species
UGGGGAAUUUUGGACAAUGGGCGAAAGCCUGAUCCAGCAAUGCCGCGUGUGUGAAGAAGGCCUUCGGGUUGUAAAGCACUUUUGUCCGGAAAGAAAAUCCUUGGCUCUAAUACAGUCGGGGGAUGACGGUACCGGAAGAAUAAGCACCGGCUAACUACGUGCCAGCAGCCGCGGUAAUACGUAGGGUGCAAGCGUUAAUCGGAAUUACUGGGCGUAAAGCGUGCGCAGGCGGUUUGCUAAGACCGAUGUGAAAUCCCCGGGCUCAACCUGGGAACUGCAUUGGUGACUGGCAGGCUAGAGUAUGGCAGAGGGGGGUAGAAUUCCACGUGUAGCAGUGAAAUGCGUAGAGAUGUGGAGGAAUACCGAUGGCGAAGGCAGCCCCCUGGGCCAAUACUGACGCUCAUGCACGAAAGCGUGGGGGAGCAAAACAGGAUUAGAUACCCCUGGUAGUCCACGCCCUAAACGAUGUCAACUAGUUGUUGGGGAUUCAUUUCCUUAGUAACGUAGCUAACGCGUGAAGUUGACCGCCUGGGGGAGUACGGUCGCAAGAUUAAAACUCAAAUGAAUUGACGGGGUCAUAGCUGUUU